rnacentral:tRNA from 1 species
GCCUGGGUGGCUCAGUUGGUUGAGCGUCCGAUUCUUGGUUUUGGCUCAGGUCAUGAUCUCACAGUUUGUGGGUUCAAGCCCCACAUCGGGCU